rnacentral:rRNA from 1 species
AUUGAACGCUGGCGGCAGGCCUAACACAUGCAAGUCGAACGAGCGGCGGACUGGUGAGUAGUGUAUGGGGAUCUGCCCGAUCGAGGGGGCUAACUACUGUAAACGGUGGCUAAUACCGCUUACUAUCGGAUGGGCCCUUAUUGGAUUAGCGAGUAGGUGGGGUAAAGGCUCACCUAGGCGACGAUCCCUAGCUGGUCUGAGAGGAUGAUCAGCCACACUGGGACUGAGACACGGCCCAGACUCCUACGGGAGGCAGCAGUGGGGAAUAUUGCGCAAUGGGCGCAAGCCUGAUGCAGCCAUGCCGCGUGUAUGAAGAAGGCUUUAGGGUUGUAAAGUACUUUCAGCGGGGAGGCGUUACCCGCAGAAGAAGCACCGGCUAACUCCGUGCCAGCAGCCGCGGUAAUUC